rnacentral:rRNA from 1 species
GACGAACGCUGGCGGCGUGCCUAAUACAUGCAAGUCGAACGAGUGGCGGACGGGUGAUUAACACGUGCUAAUCUACCCAUCAGAGGGGGAUAACACUUGGAAACAGGUGCUAAUACCGCAUACUGAUUGAUGGACCCGGGGUGCAUUAGCUAGUUGGUGAGGUAACGGCUUACCAAGGCCACGAUGCAUAGCCGGCCUGAGAGGGUGACCGGCCACACUGGAACUGAGACACGGUCCAGACUCCUACGGGAGGCAGCAGUGGGGAAUAUUGCACAAUGGGCGCAAGCCUGAUGCAGCCAUGCCGCGUGUGUGAAGAAGGCCUUCGGGUUGUAAAGCACUUUCAGCGAGGAGGCGUUACUCGCAGAAGAAGCACCGGCUAACUCCGUGCCAGCAGCCGCGGUAAUUC